CCACUAACAUCGCCGCCAUCGCCAGCCACUGCAGUUGUUGAAAUUUUGUCUCUUAUAUACAUUCCUGCAUGCUCUCCAUUCUAUAUAGCCGUUUAUUCGAAAUUGAAAAACUUAAUUUAUACGCGCGCGCGCGUCCCAAAAUUAACGGUCCCGUUAUUUAAAUAAUAUAAUAUUUUAAAGCCGAAAGUUUUUAAAACGAAUC